AAAAGACAACAGGGAUGCCUCAGUAACGGCGAGCGAAGCGGCAAAAGCUCAAAUUUGAAAUCUGGCGCUUUCAGCGUCCGAGUUGUAAUUUGAAGAAGCAACUUUGGGGUUGGCCUUUGCACAUGUUCCUUGGAACAGGACAUCAUAGAGGGUGAGAAUCCCGUACAUGGUGAGGUGCCCAACCCUUUGUAAAGUGCUUUCCAAGAGUCGAGUUGUUUGGGAAUGCAGCUCUAAGUGGGUGGUAAAUUCCAUCUAAGGCUAAAUAUUGGCGAGAGACCGAUAGCGAACAAGUACAGUGAUGGAAAGAUGAAAAGAACUUUGAAAAGAGAGUGAAAUAGUACGUGAAAUUGUUGAAAGGGAAGGGCUUGAAAUCAGACUUGGCUUGUAGUGAUCAACUGUCUCUUGGGACUGUGCACUCGCUGCUUGCUAGGCCAACAUCGGUUUUGGCGGUAAGAUAAUGUCAGUUGAAUGUGGCUCAUUCGUGAGUGUUAUAGCUUCUGUCGAUAUUGCCAGCUGGGACCGAGGACUGCGCUUAUGCUAGGAUGUGCA
rnacentral:rRNA from 1 species